rnacentral:rRNA from 1 species
UACAGGGGGGGCAAGCGUUGUUCGGAAUUAUUGGGCGUAAAGAGCUCGUAGGCGGUCUGCUGCGUCCGCUGUGAAAACUCGGGGCUUAACCCCGAGCCUGCAGUGGAUACGGGCAGACUAGAGGUAGGUAGGGGAGAAUGGAAUUCCCGGUGUAGCGGUGAAAUGCGCAGAUAUCGGGAGGAACAUCAGUGGCGAAGGCGGCUUACUGGACCAACACUGACACUGAGGCACGAAAGCGUGGGUAGCAAACAGG